AACGCACAUUGCGCCCCUUGGUAUUCCAUGGGGCAUGCCUGUUCGAGCGUCAUUUUGUACCCUCAAGCACUGCUUGGUGUUGGGCGUUUGUCCUGCAAAGGACUCGCCUGAAAGCGAUUGGCGGCCAACGUACUGGUGGUAGAGCGCAGCACAAUUUGCGUCUCUCCCCUCUGCGUCGGCGUCCAUGAAGCCUUUUUUCAACGUUUGACCUCGGAUCAGGUAGGGAUACCCGCUGAACUUAA
rnacentral:misc_RNA from 1 species